GUAUUUUUUUUCGUUUGCUUUUUCAGGGCAAACAAAUGGUUUACAUUCUAUACACAUUCAGAGUAAAUAUACGCGGGCCCGAAGGCCCACGGUGUUUGUUGGGGGGGAUGGCUCGGGCGUGCACAUGCCCCGAGAGGCCAGCGACAACCCUCACCUAAUAAUUCAAUAAUGAUCCUUCCGCAGGUUCACCUACGGAAA
rnacentral:misc_RNA from 1 species